rnacentral:misc_RNA from 1 species
UCCGGUUUGACACCGGCAGUCUCCCUAGAGUGCCCGGCAUAACCCGCUGGUAACUAGGGACGAGGGUUGCGCUCGUUGCGGGACUUAACCCAACAUCUCACGACACGAGCUGACGACAGCCAUGCAGCACCUGUGCACCGGCCCCGAAGGGCUGCCGUAUUUCUACGACAUUCCGGUGCAUGUCAAGCCUUGGUAAGGUUCUUCGCGUCGCGUCGAAUUAAACCACAUGCUCCGCUGCUUGUGCGGGCCCCCGUCAAUUCCUUUGAGUUUCAACCUUGCGGUCGUACUCCCCAGGCGGGGUACUUCACGCGUUAGCUACGGUACCAAGGAAUCGCUUCCCCAACACCUAGUGAGCAUCGUUUAGGGCGUGGACUAC